CGGAGGGUGCAAGCGUUAUCCGGAUUUACUGGGUUUAAAGGGUGCGUAGGUGGGUAAGAAAGUCAGUGGUGAAAUCUUCGGGCUUAACCCGGAAACUGCCAUUGAUACUAUUUAUCUUGAAUACUUUGGAGGUAAGCGGAAUAUGUCAUGUAGCGGUGAAAUGCUUAGAUAUGACAUAGAACACCAAUUGCGAAGGCAGCUUACUACACAGUUAUUGACACUGAGGCACGAAAGCGUGGGGAUCAAACAGGAUUAGAUACCCUGGUAGUCCACGCCCUAAACGAUGGAUACUCGACAUCAGCGAUACACUGUUGGUGUCUGAGCGAAAGCAUUAAGUAUCCCACCUGGGAAGUACGAUCGCAAGAUUG
rnacentral:rRNA from 1 species